rnacentral:lncRNA from 1 species
GGUAUUUUUCCAAAUGGGGGUAAUUGCGAUCCUGAUCGGGCUAAGGCUCUCAUCCACAUAGACCGAGUUUACCUGAAAAACCCCGACCCACAACUAGGAAGAGGUGAGAAAAGAAGCCUGAAGGGACUAGCUUACAGGCGGCAGACCUAAGGUCGCCAGUGUGUUGAAUCGCAACCGAACCCCCAUGACAAUUUGGGCACAUUGGCCUCUUUUGC